rnacentral:rRNA from 1 species
GUGGGGAAUCUUGCGCAAUGGGCGAAAGCCUGACGCAGCCAUGCCGCGUGAAUGAUGAAGGUCUUAGGAUUGUAAAAUUCUUUCACCGGGGACGAUAAUGACGAUACCCGGAGAAGAAGCUCCGGCUAACUUCGUGCCAGCAGCCGCGGUAAUACGAAGGGGGCUAGCGUUGCUCGGAAUUACUGGGCGUAAAGGGCGCGUAGGCGGACAGCUUAGUCAGAGGUGAAAGCCCAGGGCUCAACCUUGGAAUUGCCUUUGAUACUGGCUGUCUUGAGUUUGGGAGAGGUGAGUGGAACUCCGAGUGUAGAGGUGAAAUUCGUAGAUAUUCGGAAGAACACCAGUGGCGAAGGCGACUCACUGGCCCAAUACUGACGCUGAGGCGCGAAAGCGUGGGGAGCAAACAGGAUUAGAAACCCGUGUAGUCC